ensembl:snoRNA small nucleolar RNA SNORA51
GGCCUCCUGGUGCUUACCACAGUGUCUUACACUGACUGUAGAGAGAAAAAGGAAGAGGAAGAAUAAACCCACUCCAUCUACACCUUAGUCCAGGUCUUGUGCCCUGUCUGUACUGUGAAUAGAGAAAGAUGG